UUCAUUUAUCCUCCGUGGAGUGAAUGGUCGUCGUGCUCGAAACCGUGUGGACAGGAUAUGGGUAUCGCAAUCGGACGCUUGCAGAUAACCUUCCAGUAAUGAAUGGAGAAUUCUGUACCAAACCGGCUUUUGAAGUAGCCCAGUGCAAUCGUAAAAAAUGCGGUUUACGAGAAAAGACUGAAUUUGCUGGAGACUGGAGUUCAUGGUCGUCUUGCUCUCGUUCGUGAAUGCGACGCCGCCAGUGUAUGAUUGUUAGCGUACAGAGUACCUGACUAACGGAUUCUGUUGUAAUCCCACCUCCUCGCCCACAACCUAGAAGUGCUUGUCUGGAUGGAUCGUCUGAUUUGUGAUUUCCUGAAGCAUUGAACUGGCGAACUGCAGCGCUUCGAUGCCCAGUACGACAAAGACAAACUACAAUUACGCCAACGAAGCAUCCACUCCGGCGAUAUCCCGCUGCAGCUGAUCUUGUAGAAUAUAACAGUACGGCGUAUCGCGAUAAAGGAGCAAUCAGAAUAAAAAUGGAUCAUUAAUUUUGGAGCAAGAUGACCAUGACGAACAUUAUCUGAAUUCCGAAGUACCAUAGCUGCCACAACAAUAUCCCCCACGCAAUAUGUGUCAUCAAAUUCGACCAGUUACCGGCAGACUGUUGCCCAGUACCGGCGCCUGUCAAUACUUACUCGCCCACUUAUCAAGGAUGGAACACCAAUGUGAAUAAUUGUAUCCAAACCGAUCCAUAAUUCCACCUUUCCCGGCGUAUCAAGGUUACGACUUCGUCAACGCAACCGGUUAUCUUCUGCGUUUAUCCUCAAGUAAACCCAGGAGUGCAGACAUCGGUGUACUACCUGCCUUUGCCCGGCGAUUUCCGUGUACUGCGUCCGCCCGAGUAUGGACCACGAAAUGUGUCUGCCCGUAUGUGCAACCUGGACAGCUGAUGCAGGGAUGGGGUUCAGUGCUUCCUGCAUGGAGCGAAGCCGUAUAAUGUUCCCGACUACAAUUUUUUAAACUUUUGCUGGAUGUAUGAUUGUUUUGGUAGGAGGAAUUGUUGUAGCUCAAACUACGAGCUAUGUUGAAUACAAGUCUGAGAAACUGUACCCUGCACCGACAAUAUAUAAAGGAGGGGGACCGGCUGUCGUACCCAACACUGUCGCUGUUUGAGGAUUAGGGGCCGAAUCUAAGCCUUAAGUUUGGGAUACUCAUGGCAGGGAUUUUUGUUUUGUUCUGAUUGUGAUUUUUGCUGUAUUAGUGAUCAUUUAUUUUUAGACGUAUUUUUAGUACAAACGUGUCUGAUCCCCUUUUGGACUGUGUGUAGGAUUUUAGGGUGAACCGUUUUAUUUCCGGUGUCUU